rnacentral:rRNA from 1 species
AGAGUUUGAUCCUGGCUCAGGAUGAACGCUGGCGGCAUGCCUAAUACAUGCAAGUCGAACGAGGGUCCUUCGGGACUCGAGUGGCGAACGGGUGAGUAACACGUAGGGAACCUGCCCGUGCGACCGGGAGAACUUUCGGAAACGGAAGCUGAUACCGGAUAGGGACAGAGACGGCAUCGACUCUGUGUUAAAGGAGCUGAAAGGCUCCGCGCACGGAUGGACCUGCGGUGCAUUAGCUGGUUGGUGAGGUAACGGCCCACCAAGGCGACGAUGCAUAGCCGGCCUGAGAGGGCGGACGGCCACACUGGGACUGAGACACGGCCCAGACUCCUACGGGAGGCAGCAGUAGGGAAUUUUCGUCAAUGGGCGCAAGCCUGAACGAGCAAUGCCGCGUGAACGAGGAAGGUCUUCGGAUCGUAAAGUUCUGUUGAAGGGGAAAAAGAGCGGAGAGAGGAAAUGGUCUCCGAUUGAUAUUACCCUUCGAGGAAGUCACGGCUAACUACGUGCCAGCAGCCGCGGUAAUACGUAGGUGGCGAGCGUUACCCGGAAUGAUUGGGCGUAAAGGGUGCGUAGGCGGCCUGCUAAGUCUGGAGUGAAAGGUACCGGCUCAACCGGUACAGGCUCUGGAAACUGGCGGGCUAGAGAGCAGGAGAGGGCGGUGGAACUCCAUGUGUAGCGGUAAAAUGCGUAGAUAUAUGGAAGAACACCAGUGGCGAAGGCGGCCGCCUGGCCUGUUACUGACGCUGAGGCACGAAAGCGUGGGGAGCAAAUAGGAUUAGAUACCCUAGUAGUCCACGCCGUAAACGAUGAGGACCAAGUGUUGGGGAAGACCCAGUGCUGCAGUUAACGCAGUGAGUCCUCCGCCUGGGGAGUAUGCACGCAAGUGUGAAACUCAAAGGAAUUGACGGGGGCCCGCACAAGCGGUGGAGUAUGUGGUUUAAUUCGAAGCAACGCGAAGAACCUUACCAGGCCUUGACAUAGGGUGCGAAGCUAUGGAGACAUAGUGGAGGUAAACAUCCAUACAGGUGGUGCAUGGUUGUCGUCAGCUCGUGUCGUGAGAUGUUCAGUUAAGUCUGGCAACGAGCGCAACCCUCGUGAUGUGUUACCAAUAUCGAGUUAGGGACUCACAUCAGACUGCCGGUGAGAAACCGGAGGAAGGCGGGGAUGACGUCAAAUCAUCAUGCCCCUUAUGGCCUGGGCUACACACGUACUACAAUGGCGGCGACAGAGGGCAGCGAGCCUGCGAAGGCAAGCGAAUCCCAAAAAAGCCGCCCCAGUUCGGAUUGCAGCCUGCAACUCGGCUGCAUGAAGCCGGAAUCGCUAGUAAUCGCGGAUCAGAACGCCGCGGUGAAUACGUUCCCGGGUCUUGCACACACCGCCCGUCAA